UACGUAGGGUGCGAGCGUUGUCCGGAAUUACUGGGCGUAAAGAGCUCGUAGGUGGUUUGUCGCGUUGUUCGUGAAAACUCACAGCUCAACUGUGGGCGUGCGGGCGAUACGGGCAGACUGGAGUACUGCAGGGGAGACUGGAAUUCCUGGUGUAGCGGUGGAAUGCGCAGAUAUCAGGAGGAACACCGGUGGCGAAGGCGGGUCUCUGGGCAGUAACUGACGCUGAGGAGCGAAAGUGUGGGGAGCGAACAGG
rnacentral:rRNA from 1 species